UGCAGCCUCCUCUAUACAUCCUCCCGCAUCCUCGUGCAACCCCAUGCAUCCCCAUGCAUCCUCGUGCAUCCUCGUGCAACCCCGUGCAACCUUGUGCAUCCUCGUGCAAUGCCCUGCAUCCUUGUGCAUCACCCCCUGCACCCCCUGCACCCUCCUCUAUACAUCCUCCUGCAUCCCCGUGCAUCCCUGUGCAACCUCGUGCAUCCCCUUGCACCCUCGUGUAUCCAUCCUUGUGCAUCCUCGUGCAUCCUCGUGCAUCUCUGUGCAUCCUCGUGCAUCCUCGUGCAUCCCCGUGCAUCCUCGCGUGCCCAUCCUCUAGCAGCCCCGUGCAUCCUCGUGCAUCACCCUGCAUCCUCGUGCACCCUCGUGCACCCUCGUGCAUCCUCGUGCACCCUCGUGCACCCUCGUGCAUCCAUCCCCGUGCAUGCUCGUGCACCCCCCAGGGCGCAGAAGCCCCCCCUGCACCCCGAGGCGCGUGCACGCGGGUGGGACCCCGCGGGCGUGCACAGGAAGGGACCCAACGGGGCCGCGCACAACCGUGCACGCGAGUUUGGGGGGGGGGGGGGUGGGAGGGCUAUCUGCGCGUGCACGAGGCGCGUGCACGGCUCGGUGGGCGUGCACGGGCGGGAGACGUCGCGUGCACGAGCGGUCGGGGCGGGCGCGUGCACGUGGGUGCAGCGCGCGUAAAAUUGCGCGCGCGCGGGCUCAGCGCGCGCGCCCUUCCUCCGAAGCCCCGCCCCUCCCCGCCCUGUCGCCAAGGCAACCGCCCGCCGUCGCCCGGCAACGCGUUGCUAGGCAACGUGAUUGACAGCCCCCCCGCCCCCUUUGGCCACGCCCCCUGGGAGAGGGUACCGCCUCCCCAUUGGCUCCGCCGGGCGGUGUGGUGAGGCUCGUAAGGGGGCGGGGCGGUGCUGGAUUGGCGGUGUGAGCGGCCAAUAAGAAAGAGGGAGAGGCAGCGGCCUAGCCCCGAUUGGCUGAGGAGCGUGAGGUGGGCGGGAGGAGCGCUGAGGGGAGCUCCCUUCCGAUUGGCUGAGGAGCGCGCGGUGGGCGGGAGCAGCUGUGAGGGGAUC
rnacentral:lncRNA from 1 species